UACGUAGGGUGCGAGCGUUGUCCGGAAUUAUUGGGCGUAAAGAGCUCGUAGGCGGUCUGUCGCGUCUGCUGUGAAAAUCCGGGGCUCAACCCCGGACUUGCAGUGGGUACGGGCAGACUAGAGUGUGGUAGGGGAGACUGGAAUUCCUGGUGUAGCGGUGAAAUGCGCAGAUAUCAGGAGGAACACCGAUGGCGAAGGCAGGUCUCUGGGCCAUAACUGACGCUGAGAAGCGAAAGCAUGGGGAGCGAACAGG
rnacentral:rRNA from 1 species